GCUACAGCGUCAUGGAGGUCUGCUACAGCGUCAUGGAGGUCUGCUACAGCAUCAUCGAGGUCCGCUGCAGCGUCAUGGAGGUCCGCUACAGCUUCAUGGAGGUCUGCCACAGUGUCAUCAAAAUCUGCUGCAGAGUCAUCGAAGAUACCAGCCACACGUGAUGCUGGCUUCCGUUGCUCGUCGGACUGACGUGCAUCAAACUGGACAGUGGACAAGUGCAACACACUAUCGCUAUUGCAACCACCGACUGUGAUGCAGUGGGCAUCGGCAUCCAGCUGGGGAUCGGACACAGAGCAGAGUUGCGGACAUGCAAGCCCAGCGCACACGUGCUGCGUGGAGGAGACAAACUUCACUUUGGUUGCCCUUCAUGGAGCGUUGGAAGAACGUGCAUCGGACUGAACUGUUGGCCACUGUAAUGCAAGCUAUUGCUGCUGCAAACAUCUACAGUGAUGCAGUGGACAUCAACGAUCAACCUUUAAUUUUGCAUGUGUCUGAAAAAAAUAUUUUUCUUAGUGUGCUGCUUGUUUGCCGCUUGUUGCCCCUUGUUGCCGCUAUCUUGGUUGUUGCCGCUUGUUGCCGCUAUCUUGGUUGUUGCCGCUUGUUGCCGCUAUCUUGGUUGUUGUGUGUGGAUUACGGUCGUCGUUAUGUCAUAGCAGUGUGCUUGUGCAUGUGUGUGCAUGUGUGUGUGUGUGCGCUGAGGAGAUGCUCCCCGCAUGAAACUAACAGUUGCCAGCAUGACUGCUUGUACACCAUGGCCUUACAAGGAGCGCAACAUGUAUGCUUCCCCUAUCGUCAACCACUCCGCAGUUUACAGCUUAUUAAAUUCUAAUGCCGGGAGAGCUGCGUGAUUGGAUGUGACAUCGUAGCUUGUAAGGUGCAGUGUACCAUGCUUCUGCGGCAUUGUACUGUGCAGGGCCUCGGGGGCCUUCCUGCCGCUUGGA